UGCUAGCUUUGGCAGCACUAUACUAAAAUUGGAAUACAAAGAAGAUUAGCAUGGCCCCUUCUCAAGGAAGGCAGGCACAUUUGUGAAGCGUUCCAUAGUUUU